rnacentral:lncRNA from 1 species
CAGAGCCCUGGGCCAAGGCUCUGAGUCUAAGCAGGGAACUCAAUGUAGUUUAUUAUCUACAUCUUUGACCUUAUCAGCCUCUGAAAACAAAGCAGUGAACUUGUAUGUUCAAGGCAGUGGAGAAACAGAUACUCAGGUGCCCCGUUGUGCUCACGUCCACCACCAAGCCUUCCGCCUGGCACCCCUGCCCUCUCAAGAGUCCAGUUUCUCGGGGGCACCUCUGGGUCUGCCCACCUGGAACUGUCUCUCUCCCACUUCACUCACCUAAUACCCUAUCCAUUUACUACCUGCGGCGCCACGAGAACGUUAUUUAACUUCUCUGUGCCUCAGUUGCAUUUUCUCUGAGAAGGACAAAAUAAUUGUCCUUAAGGCAGAAGCACGGUGAGGGUUAUACGAGCGAAGUGCUUGGGCCCUGGCAGGUAGCCUGCAUGUGAUAAAGGUCAGCUGUGGUCACAGGAAAUGUCACCCAUGCUUCACGUGUCAGGUUCCUCCAAUAAACCUCUCCUGAUGCUCUUACUCAGGUCACGUGCCCUGCUGGGCGUUCACGUAGCACACAGUAUGGGAUCCCUGUAUUAGUUUCAGGGACCACCUCCCACGUCUUCAAGAAUACACCUCCCAGAUUCUUGGUGUAGCCUCAGGACACACCCACAAACAAGACCAGCCAUGAAUAAACUCCCAAAGCCCUGGGCACAAUUAUUGAUCCAGUGAUAGGCAAGGACCAAAAAGAACCCUUUGACCAAUUGAGGGGGUUGCUAUGGCAACUGGGAGAAAGAGGAGUUCUCUUUUUAUGGCAUCUCGUGUACCAUCUCGGUGCGGCCCUGGUCCAGCCAUCCACCACUGUGUGCUAGAGAGAGAGAGAGAGAGAGAGAGAGAGAGAGAGAGGGAGAGGCAGGGACCUGAGGUUGAUGAGGACAGAGACUGAACUGCAUUGUUGAAACCCCAGAUUCAGCCAAGCCUGAAUCCAGGGCUUUUAUGCAGUCGGUCAAUAGCCUCUUUUUCCUUCAACUAGCUUGAUGUCUCUCUCUUGUUGUUAAGAGUCCUGAUUAACACACAUACUUCCCCAUUCACAAUGCCUAGCACAUUUCACCCUCGUUAACUGUGUGCUACCUUCCCCAGCGAGGCUGAGAGUCCAUCAUGGCGCGGCCCUGGUCCAGCCGUCCACCACUCUGUGCUAAGCAGGGUGCCUGCCCAGAGGAGGCAUUCACACAUUUGUUAAGUGAUGAAUGAUGGAUGACCAGAGGGGAUUCCAGAGGAGACACACAGAUCCCACACGAAGCACUGAUGGGAUGGAUAAAGCCCCCCAGCUUUUCUCAACUCCUCCCCCACUGGAUACAGAUUAGAAAUCUUAAGACCCCCAGACAGCUCAUCAUUUCAGAGUCUCCCAUUCCCUUCAUUGUUUAGAGAAACUGAUGCCCUGAGGUUGUGGCAGUUUGAAGAUCAGGGGCCCCAGUCCCAAGAUAUUCGGCUCUACUCGGGAGAGAUGCGGGUAUUUCUGGGGAGGUGCUCUUCGGCCCAUUGUCAUCAUCUCACCAGACCGUCAGCUUUUUGAAAACUCCCAAAGAUAAAUCCUGGUAUUCUCAUUCACCAGUUCCCCCAGACAGUAGGAGACGGAGGAUAAGCCAUCGUGACUUCUUUCUUGAAGAUUGUUUUUUUGUGCAGGUCACAAGCAACCGUAACGUUAAAUGGUCAAAGACAGAACCAUAGCCACUUCUCUGUGUUUAUCGAGAAUCACUCAAUGGCAGGGAAUCCAUACCUGAUUCAAGCAACUGAAGGAAAUCAGUUAGCUUUAUUGUUAACUGCAGACUUGAGGAUUGGCCAGAUGUACGUAUGGCUGGAGCCAAGUCCUCGAAGUGUGUCUCAUUCUCUCCACCGCAGAGUUUUCUUGAUGAAAACUGGGCUAAAGGAUGCAGUCUGAGCAAACUGGCUAUAGAGAAACGCUCUGCCUCUUCAAUGCCGGCCUUGAACCAGACUGGUGGACUUUGCCCCUUAGGCUGAGUUGUUCUCCAGAAGCUUCCUCAGGCUCCCCUGCCAACCCUCUUCAGGCAGCCCAGCCCCACCCGCUCCACUAGAUCAAGCUUGAUAACAGCAUAGCAUAAAGCCAGGACCACUGCCGUGCUUGUCUGACAAAGAAUAUUUUUAUCUUACUAGGUUUCCUAUGUAAGGGUCACCAGACAGUUUCAUUCAUUAGUUAUCCUGAAGAGCAUAGGUUGGCUGGGAGGUGUUUGAAUUGGUUGCCACAAAGAGCAAAGCAGUACACAUUUCUUCUGUCAAAAUAUUCUUUCUCUGGGAGACAGAGGUGCGUUGAUUUGCUUAUCUCUGUUCCUAUAAAACUCUUAAGUGUUUAAACUUCUGUGCAUAAAAUGUUGAUGAAACCGUCAAAAGAACUGCUGACCUGCGCAUUGACUAUGGGGAGCAUUGUUUCAAGUGAAGGAGAAAAUACCUCCAUUGACUCUACAGAGACUGAUGUGUUUGCGGUGUCUGCUGACCAUUCCUCGGUCCCGAAGAUUCCUUCCCAGUCAUGGGCCAUGUUGCCAGUCCAAAGGCAGAGUUAGUUGCACAUAGCUGCUGGCAGAUGCAAUGACACUGCAGCAGGCCGUCACCCUUGGUCGCCCUUGAUGAGUACAUGAGCUGCGGCCAGAUUUCCGUUCCCUCACCUCACAAGCACGCCCCUGUCCUGCCUUCUGACACCUGUCACCACUGCCCCUCAUCUGUGCAUCCUUCCUCCCACUCCUUUCCAGCAAUGAUUUCCAUCCACCCGUCGCAAAGAAUCACUCAAGAUAGAGCAACACAGGGGCCUUCUUCUCCAACACUUGUACAUUUCCUCACGGUGAGCUGGCCUUCCAGACAGGCAGCAGCGUGCUGCCAACGCAGGAGAGCACGUAGGUAGCCUGGAAACCUUGUUUACCUCUUGCAGUCACGACACCCUUGUUUUCCCGGUGCCGAAACUCACGCAGAGACAAAGCACCAAGGUCCAAAGCAAACAUUUGUCAGAUGAAACCAAUGACAAU